UACGGAGGGUGCAAGCGUUAUCCGGAAUCACUGGGUUUAAAGGGUGCGUAGGCGGUCUGAUAAGUCAGUUGCGAAAUUCCCCGGCUUAACCGGGUGGACUGCGAUUGAUACUGUUGGACUUGAAUCAGGUUGAGGUAGGCGGAAUGUGACAUGUAGCGGUGAAAUGCUUAGAUAUGUCAUAGAACACCGAUUGCGAAGGCAGCCUGCUGGGCUUCGAUUGACGCUGAGGCACGAAAGCGUGGGGAGCAAACAGG
rnacentral:rRNA from 1 species